GUGAGGAAUAUUGGUCAAUGGGCGGGAGCCUGAACCAGCCAAGUCGCGUGAAGGAAGAAGGAUCUAUGGUUCGUAAACUUCUUUUGCAGGGGAAUAAAGUGCAGGACGUGUCCUGUUUUGUAUGUACCCUGAGAAUAAGGAUCGGCUAACUCCGUGCCAGCAGCCGCGGUAAUACGGAGGAUCCGAGCGUUCUCAGGCUUUAUUGGGUUUAAAGGGUGCGUAGGUGGUGUGAUAAGUCAGCGGUGAAAGUUUGCAGCUUAACUGUAAAAAUGCCGUUGAAACUGUCGGACUUGAGUGUAAAUGAGGUAGGCGGAAUGCGUGGUGUAGCGGUGAAAUGCAUAGAUAUCACGCAGAACUCCGAUUGCGAAGGCAGCUUACUAAGCUACAACUGACACUGAAGCACGAAAGCGUGGGGAUCAAACAGGAUUAGAAACCCGGGUAGUCC
rnacentral:rRNA from 1 species